rfam:Arabidopsis thaliana chromosome 3, complete sequence.
AAACCGUGAUGGGGGCUCUAAGUGGUGUAGCUUUUAAACCUCUCCCAAGCUUCGUAGAAAGUUUCAUAAUUUUUUCUGCGUGAAGCCUGAGAUCUCGUUCCUCAUUCU